rnacentral:piRNA from 1 species
ACACAGUGCUUUUGCCACUAAUUGGGACAGC